rnacentral:rRNA from 1 species
UGGGGAAUAUUGGGCAAUGGGCGAAAGCCUGACCCAGCAACGCCGCGUGAGGGAAGAAGGUCUUCGGAUUGUAAACCUUUGUCCUAUGGGACGAAACAAAUGACGGUACCAUAGGAGGAAGCUCCGGCUAACUACGUGUCAGCAGCCGCGGUAAUACGUAGGGAGCAAGCGUUGUCCGGAAUUACUGGGCGUAAAGGGUGCGUAGGUGGCCAUGUAAGUUAGGUGUGAAAGACCGGGGCUUAACCCCGGGGCGGCACUUAAAACUGUGUGGCUUGAGUACAGGAGAGGGAAGUGGAAUUCCUAGUGUAGCGGUGAAAUGCGUAGAUAUUAGGAGGAACACCAGUGGCGAAGGCGACUUUCUGGACUGUAACUGACACUGAGGCACGAAAGCGUGGGGAGCAAACAGGAUUAGAUACC